GACGAACGCUGGCGGCGUGCUUAACACAUGCAAGUCGAACGGAAAGGCCCUGCUUUUGUGGGGUGCUCGAGUGGCGAACGGGUGAGUAACACGUGAGUAACCUGCCCUUGACUUUGGGAUAACUUCAGGAAACUGGGGCUAAUACCGGAUAGGAGCUCCUGCUGCAUGGUGGGGGUUGGAAAGUUUCGGCGGUUGGGGAUGGACUCGCGGCUUAUCAGCUUGUUGGUGGGGUAGUGGCUUACCAAGGCUUUGACGGGUAGCCGGCCUGAGAGGGUGACCGGCCACAUUGGGACUGAGAUACGGCCCAAGCUCCUACGGGGGGAAGAGGUGGGGAAUAUUGACCAAUGGGGGGAAGCCUGAUGCAGCACCCCCGCGGGCGGGAAGACGGCCUUCGGGUUGUAAACCGCUUUCCCCUGUGACGAAGCGGGAGUGACGGUAAUGGGUAAAGAAGCACCGGCUAACUACGU
rnacentral:rRNA from 1 species